rnacentral:misc_RNA from 1 species
GAUGAAGAACGCAGCGAAAUGCGAUAAGUAGUGUGAAUUGCAGAAUUCAGUGAAUCAUCGAAUCUUUGAACGCACAUUGCGCCCCUUGGUAUUCCAUGGGGCAUGCCUGUUCGAGCGUCAUUUGUACCUUCAAGCUUUGCUUGGUGUUGGGUGUUUGUCCAUUCUCUUGCAGAGGGACUCGCCUUAAAGUAAUUGGCAGCCAGUGUUUUGGUUUUGAAGCGCAGCACAAGUCGCGAUUCAACGCUAUACGCCAGCUUCCACAAGCCUUUUUCACUUUUGACCUCGGAUCAGGUAGGGAUACCCACUGAACUUAAGCAUAUCAAUAAGCGGAGGA